UAGGGGCCCAAGAGCCACUGGUACUCGGUGUCUGGGUGGCGGCAGGGGGGAUUUUUGUUCUUCCAGCACCUGCGGCUGUUGAGACCAGAGCACUUGGUGGUUGACCACAGGCUGGGGUAUUAGUUCACCCCUAGCUUCUCCCCAGCGAGAACUCAGGGCCUUUGGGCACAGGGGAUUAAGCUUCAAUCUGCUUAUGUGCAAGGGGAAGAAAUAGGCCCAUAGAGCAACAGUGGCGGGUCUACAGUCACACAGCCAACUUGUGCUUGUGGCAGUGGCAAGGUUGGUGAGUAUCUGAGUCUUCAGGCCAUGGUGUUUUCCCCUCGAGUGGAGCCUGAAGUUCUGAGGGUACCCCUCACUCAAGCUCCAGGCGUCAGGAAAAGAACAUUCCACGAGUCCAUCUAGAAGACGGUCCUUUCCCUGGUGCCGCCGGCUUCUAGAACAUUCCCUGGAACACAGCAAGUGUUCAGUUAUUGUUCAUGG
rnacentral:lncRNA from 1 species